UACGUAGGGAGCGAGCGUUGUCCGGAUUUAUUGGGCGUAAAGCGCGCGUAGGCGGUUUGAUAAGCCGGGUGUGAAACCUCCAAGCUCAACUUGGAGCGGCCACUCGGAACUGUCAUGACUUGAGCCAGGUAGGGGAACACGGAAUUCCAGGUGUAGCGGUGAAAUGCUUAGAUAUCUGGAGGAACACCAGUGGCGAAGGCGGUGUUCUGGGCCUGUACUGACGCUGAUGCGCGAAAGCGUGGGGAGCGAACAGG
rnacentral:rRNA from 1 species